GGUUUAGGUCAAACACAGGAGCUGAACUUACAUUUUGAAAUUUUGUAGAGGGAGAAAUGAAGGAAUUUUUUGAUGGGUCCCCAAUUUUUACAUUGGCACCCAUUUCUUUUCCUCUUGGGGUUCAAGAUAAGUGUCAUUGAAUCCACCUGUCUGGACCGCAGGAGCGGGUUUACGUUUUGAAAUUUUGAAGGGGGCGCUAUGGGGCCUUUUUAUGAUGGACAUCCAUUAUGACAGUUAAACCCUUUUUGUUCAUCUUAAGGUCAAACAUAAGUGUCAUCAAUUUCAUAGGUUUAGGUCAAACACAGGAGCGUGGUUCACACUGAAGAAAUUUGAAGGUGGCGCCAUAGAGCCAUGUUUUGAUGGAUCUCCAUUUUGAUAUUCAAACUGUUUUUGUUCGUGUUAAGGUUCAACUUCAGUGUCACUAAUUCCACAGGUUUUGGAUGCGCACCAGAGCAGGGCUUUCAUUUAGAAAUGUUGUAGAGAAUGCAGUCGUGCCUUUUUCAGUUGGAUCCAAGAUAAGUCUCUGUUAGUCCAUUGGUCUGAGUCACUCAAAGAAGCAGGAGUUUCAUUUUGAAAUUAUGAAGGGGGUGCUAUGUAGCUAUUUCUUGAAGGACCUCAAUUUUGACAUUGAACCCAUUUUUGUUUGUCUUGAGGUCAAACAUAAGUGACAUCAAUUCCAAAGGUUUUGGUCAAACACAGGAGCGGGGCUUACUUUUUUUUUUUUUUUAAAUUUGAAGCUGGCACUCUGGAGCUAUUUGAAGUUGAUUCUCCAUUUUGAUGCUGGAGCCCUGUAUGUUCAACUUUCGGUUUGUCAUAAUUGUUCUUUAUUUCAAAAGUUUGGUUCGUACACAGAAAAAGGGCUUUUAUUUUUCAAUUGGGUAGGGGGCAAUAUGUGACCAUUGAUGGUUGGUUCUCCAUCUUGACAUUUUCUUCAUCACAGGGUGAUGAGACUCAUUUGUAAUAAUGGAAAAACAGCACCAUCUAGUGGUGUGCUUCAGUGACUUCCCCACAUAAAAAUGUAGAAAAUAUUACAGAGCUGAAGCUAAAAUACUUGGAUGAAGGUAAAAAUAAAAAAAAAAUUGCUAAAAUUGUAUGUCUUAUGUGCAUUACAAGGAAAAAUGAUCAGUCGAGGUGCUUCGGAUAGACAAAUGCCUAAAAAUGUAUGUAUUACAACCUCCCCGUGGAAUGUGGAAGUACUCAAAAGAAGUUUACAGUCAGAAUGUAACCAUAGUAAUUUUUGAUUAUGGUAUGACAGCACCAUCUAGUGGGGUGAACUUUUCACCUUUCUACCAUUUAUACUUUUUGCAAUAUUUCACUUUUUCCUGUACAAUUAGAAGUGAUCAUGAGAGUGCCAGUUGUUUUUUGUUAAUCUGAUCCUACAAAAAAAACUUAAAUGGUUUCAAAGUCAAUGAUAUUACGAAUCCUUUACAUAUUCAAGACUAUAAAACCCUGCAAGAGAUAUUCAGUUUCAGGUCAUGUUUUCUAAUAAAAAUCAGUCUCUCUUCUUAAGAUGGUCUUAUUUUUUUAUGAUACCACUUAUAACAAUAGGUCAAUGAACUGACAGGUCAUCAUAACAACAGGUCACCAUAACGUUCAACACCAUCCAACCGAUCAUACUCAAAGACAAGCCCACAGAGAUGGGCGUGGAUCCUACCUGUGCUUCCUGGAUCACAAAUUGCCUGACAGGAAUCACACAGUUCUUCACGCUGGGGAACUGUGUUUCUGGGCCUUAUUGAGAAGUACAGGGGUUCCACAACGGACGGUCCUGGCUCCAUUCCUAUUGACAGGGUAUACACCAGACUUCAAAUACAGCACUGAGUCCUGAAAUUUUUGUAGAGGGCGCUAUGACCACAUUUUUGUUGGAAAUCCAUUUUGACAGUGGAAAACUUUUUGUUUAACUUUGAGUCCAACGUAGGUGUCAUUGAAUCCCUCGGUUUAGGUCAAACACAGGAGCUGAACUUACAUUUUGAAAUUUUGUAGAGGGAGAAAUGAAGGAAUUUUUUGAUGGGUCCCCAAUUUUUACAUUGGCAACCAUUUCUUUUCCUCUUGGGGUUCAAGAUAAGUGUCAUUGAAUCCACUUGUCUGGACCGCAGGAGCGGGUUUACGUUUUGAAAUUUUGAAGGGGGCGCUAUGGGGCCUUUUUAUGAUGGAUAUCCAUUAUGACAGUUAAACCCUUUUUGUUCGUCUUGAGGUCAAACAUAAGUGUCAUCAAUUUCAUAGGUUUAGGUCAAACACAGGAGCGUGGUUCACAUUGAAGAAAUUUGAAGGUGGCGCCAUAGAGCCAUGUUUUGAUGGAUCUCCAUUUUGAUAUUCAAACUGUUUUUGUUCGUGUUAAGGUUCAACUUCAGUGUCACUAAUUCCACAGGUUUUGGACGCACACCAGAGCAGGGCUUUCAUUUAGAAAUGUUGUAGAGAACGCAGUCGUGCCAUUUUCAGUUGGAUCCAAGAUAAGUGUCUGUUAGUCCAUUGGUCUGAGUCACUCAAAGAAGCAGGAGUUUCAUUUUGAAAUUAUGAAGGGGGUGCUAUGUAGCUAUUUCUUGAAGGACCUCAAUUUUGACAUUGAACCCAUUUUUGUUUGUCUUGAGGUCAAACAUAAGUGACAUCAAUUCCAAAGGUUUUGGUCAAACACAGGAGCGGGGCUUACUUUUUUUUUUAAUUUGAAGCUGGCACUCUGGAGCUAUUUGAAGUUGAUUCUCCAUUUUGAUGCUGGAGCCCUUUAUGUUCAACUUUCGGUUUGUCAUAAUUGUACUUUAUUUCAAAAGUUUGGUUCGUACACAGAAAAAGGGCUUUUAUUUUUCAAUUGGGUAGGGGGCAAUAUGUGACCAUUGAUGGUUGGUUCUCCAUCUUGACAUUUUCUUCAUCACAGGGUGAUGAGACUCAUUUGUAAUAAUGGAAAAACAGCACCAUCUAGUGGUGUGCUUCAGUGACUUCCCCACAUAAAAAUGUAGAAAAUAUUACAGAGCUGAAGCUAAAAUACUUGGAUGAAGGUAAAAAUAAAAAAAAUUGCUAAAAUUGUAUGUCUUAUGUGAAUUACAAAGAAAAAUGAUCAGUCGAGGUGCUUCGGAUAGCCAAAUGCCUAAAAUUGUAUGUAUUACAACCUCCCCGUGAAAUGUGGAAGUACUCAAAAGAAGUUUACAGUCAGAAUGUAACCAUAGUAAUUUUUGAUUAUGGUAUGACAGCACCAUCUAGUGGGGUGUACUUUUCACCUUUCUACCAUUUAUACUUUUUGCAAUAUUUCACUUUUUCUGUACAAUUAGAAGUGAUCAUGAGAGUGCCAGAAUUCUUAAGAUGGUCUUAUUUUCAUGAUACCACUUGGAAAAACUGCGUCAGGUAAAGAAGUUCAGACGGUAUCCACUUCACCCAUGGUGGAGCACUUCUCAUGUGUUGUGUGCUUGUCGAUUUCCUACACACUCUGUCCGCACGCACUACUCCAUCUUGCGGUGCGCUUCAGCUUGGUAAGUUAGUAACUGAAGCACACUAUAGGGUAGUGUUGUGCCGCUACCAGUGACUAUGGUUACAUGCUGCUGACUGCAAACCUCUUUUGAAUAUUUCAACAUUUCAUGGGGAGUUUGUAAUAUAUAAAUCUCUAGGCACUUGUCUUUCCAAAGCACCUAGACUGAUCUUUAUUUAUUUUUAUUCACAAAAGUCUUACAACUUUUUCUUCACUUGAGCAUUUUUUACAUUCAUAAAAGUAUUUAAAAUUCUGCUCUCUAUACUUUUAAGAUUAAUACCACUUCUUCAUACUUUCAUAAUUUUACAUUCAUAUGCCUUUUUUAUACCACAGCUCUGUAACAAUUCUAUAUUGACAAAUAUUGACAGGUCUUACAACUUUGUCUUCACGUGAGCAUUUUUUACAUUCAUACAAGUUUUUAAACUUCUGCUCUUAAUACUUUUGAGAUCAAUACCACCUAUUUAGCACUUUAAUAAUUUUGCAUUUAUACAGCUUUUAGCUACAGCUCUGUAACACUCUUUAUAUUUAUAUGUAGGGCAGCAACUGAAGCUCACCACUAGAUGCGGCUGUCAUACCAUAAUCAAAUAUUUCUAUGGUGAUGUGCUGACUGCAAACAUCUUUUUUAUGUAGGGCAGUGACAGAAGCACACCACCAGAUGGUGCUGUUUUUCCAUUAUUACAAAUCACUACAGUUACAUGCUGCUGACUGCAAACAUCUUUUCAGUAUUCACACAUGGAGCGGGGCCAUUGUUUUGUUUAGGCAUUAGCCGUUUUGUUUUGAAUGGACUCUCAAAGGCUUAAAAAAUUGUUUUUUGGAUAAAAAAAUGUACUAUUUUUGAUCAGGGCAGAAGUUAAUUGAGAGAUGUGUGAAAAAAAAUCUGGAAAAAAUAUGAAUCCAAUAUGAUUUUACAGCAGUCGAUGUCAGAGGCUUUUUUUAGCCACUGAGCAUUAACAAAGGAUGUUUUUUGUUAAUCUGAUCCUACAAAAAAAACUUAAAAGGUUUCAUAGUCAAUGAUAUUACUAAUCCUUUACAUAUUCAAGACUAUAAAACCCUGCAAGAGAUAUCCAGUUUCAGGUCAUGUUUUCUAAUAAAAAUCAGUCUCUCUUCUUAAGAUGGUCUUAUUUUCAUGAUACCACUUAUAACAAUAGGUCAAUGAACUGACAGGUCAUCAUAACAACAGGUCACCAUAACAUUCAACACCAUCCAACCGAUCAUACUCAAAGACAAGCCCACAGAGAUGGGCGUGGAUCCUACCUGUGUUUCCUGGAUCACAAAUUGCCUGACAGGAAUCACACAGUUCUUCACGCUGGGGAACUGUGUUUCUGGGCCUUAUUGAGAAGUACAGGGGUUCCACAACGGACGGUCCUGGCUCCAUUCCUAUUGACAGGGUAUACACCAGACUUCAAAUACAGCACUGAGUCCUGAAAUUUUUGUAGAGGGCGCUAUGACCACAUUUUUGUUGGAAAUCCAUUUUGACAGUGGAAAACUUUUUGUUUAACUUUGAGUCCAACGUAGGUGUCAUUGAAUCCCUCGGUUUAGGUCAAACACCGGAGCUGAACUUACAUUUUGAAAUUUUGUAGAGGGAGAAAUGAAGGAAUUUUUUGAUGGGUGCCCAAUUUUUACAUUGGCACCCAUUUCUUUUCCUCUUGGCGUUCAAGACAAGUGUCAUUGAAUCCACUUGUCUGGACCACAGGAGCGGGGUUUAAGUUUUGAAAUUUUGAAGGGGGCGCUAUGGGGCCUUUUUAUGAUGGAUAUCCAUUAUGACAGUUAAACCCUUUUUGUUCGUCUCAAGGUCAAACAUAAGUGUCAUCAAUUUUAUAGGUUUAGGUCAAACACAGGAGCGUGGUUCACAUUGAAGAAAUUUGAAGGUGGCGCCAUAGAGCCAGUGUUUUGAUGGAUCUCCAUUUUGAUAUUUAAACUGUUUUUGUUCGUGUUAAGGUUCAACUUCAGUGUCACUAAUUCCACAGGUUUUGGACGCACACCAGAGCAGGGCUUUCAUUUAGAAAUGUUGUAGAGAACGCAGUCGUGCCAUUUUCAGUUGGAUCCAAGAUAAGUGUCUGUUAGUCCAUUGGUCUGAGUCACUCAAAGAAGCAGGAGUUUCAUUUUGAAAUUAUGAAGGGGGUGCUAUGUAGCUAUUUCUUGAAGGACCUCAAUUUUGACAUUGAACCCAUUUUUGUUUGUCUUGAGGUCAAACAUAAGUGACAUCAAUUCCAAAGGUUUUGGUCAAACACAGGAGCGGGGCUUACUUUUUUUUUUAAUUUGAAGCUGGCACUCUGGAGCUAUUUGAAGUUGAUUCUCCAUUUUGAUGCUGGAGCCCUUUAUGUUCAACUUUCGGUUUGUCAUAAUUGUACUUUAUUUCAAAAGUUUGGUUCGUACACAGAAAAAGGGCUUUUAUUUUUCAAUUGGGUAGGGGGCAAUAUGUGACCAUUGAUGGUUGGUUCUCCAUUUUGACAUUUUCUUCAUCACAGGGUGAUGAGACUCAUUUGUAAUAAUGGAAAAACAGCACCAUCUAGUGGUGUGCUUCAGUGACUUCCCCACAUAAAAAUGUAGAAAAUAUUACAGAGCUGAAGCUAAAAUACUUGGAUGAAGGUAAAAAUAAAAAAAAUUGCUAAAAUUGUAUGUCUUCUGUGAAUUACAAAGAAAAAUGAUCAGUUGAGGUGCUUCGGAUAGCCAAAUGCCUAAAAUUGUAUGUAUUACAACCUACCCGUGAAAUGUGGAAGUACUCAAAAGAAGUUUACAGUCAGAAUGUAACCAUAGUAAUUUUUGAUUAUGGUAUGACAGCACCAUCUAGUGGGGUGUAAUUUUCACCUUUCUACCAUUUAUACUUUUUGCAAUAUUUCACUUUUUCUGUACAAUUAGAAGUGAUCAUGAGAGUGCCAGAAUUCUUAAGAUGGUCUUAUUUUCAUGAUACCACUUGGAAAAACUGCGUCAGGUAAAGAAGUUCAGACGGUAUCCACUUCACCCAUGGUGGAGCACUUCUCAUGUGUUGUGUGCUUGUCGAUUUCCUACACACUCUGUCCGCACGCACUACUCCAUCUUGCGGUGCGCUUCAGCUUGGUAAGUUAGUAACUGAAGCACACUAUAGGGUAGUGUUGUGCCGCUACCAGUGACUAUGGUUACAUGCUGCUGACUGCAAACCUCUUUUGAAUAUUUCAACAUUUCAUGGGGAGUUUGUAAUAUAUAAAUCUCUAGGCACUUGUCUUUCCAAAGCACCUAGACUGAUCUUUAUUUAUUUUUAUUCACAAAAGUCUUACAACUUUUUCUUCACUUGAGCAUUUUUUACAUUCAUAAAAGUAUUUAAAAUUCUGCUCUCUAUACUUUUAAGAUUAAUACCACUUCUUCAUACUUUCAUAAUUUUACAUUCAUAUGCCUUUUUUAUACCACAGCUCUGUAACAAUUCUAUAUUGACAAAUAUUGACAGGUCUUACAACUUUGUCUUCACGUGAGCAUUUUUUACAUUCAUACAAGUUUUUAAACUUCUGCUCUUAAUACUUUUGAGAUCAAUACCACCUAUUUAGCACUUUAAUAAUUUUGCAUUUAUACAGCUUUUAGCUACAGCUCUGUAACACUCUUUAUAUUUAUAUGUAGGGCAGCAACUGAAGCUCACCACUAGAUGCGGCUGUCAUACCAUAAUCAAAUAUUUCUAUGGUGAUGUGCUGACUGCAAACAUCUUUUUUAUGUAGGGCAGUGACAGAAGCACACCACCAGAUGGUGCUGUUUUUCCAUUAUUACAAAUCACUACAGUUACAUGCUGCUGACUGCAAACAUCUUUUCAGUAUUCACACAUGGAGCGGGGCCAUUGUUUUGUUUAGGCAUUAGCCGUUUUGUUUUGAAUGGACUCUCAAAGGCUUAAAAAAAUGUUUUUUGGAUAAAAAAAUGUACUAUUUUUGAUCAGGGCAGAAGUUAAUUGAGAGAUGUGUGAAAAAAAAUCUGGAAAAAAUAUGAAUCCAAUAUGAUUUUACAGCAGUCGAUGUCAGAGGCUUUUUUUAGCCACUGAGCAUUAACAAAGGAUGUUUUUUGUUAAUCUGAUCCUACAAAAAAAACUUAAAAGGUUUCAUAGUCAAUGAUAUUACUAAUCCUUUACAUAUUCAAGACUAUAAAACCCUGCAAGAGAUAUCCAGUUUCAGGUCAUGUUUUCUAAUAAAAAUCAGUCUCUCUUCUUAAGAUGGUCUUAUUUUCAUGAUACCACUUAUAACAAUAGGUCAAUGAACUGACAGGUCAUCAUAACAACAGGUCACCAUAACAUUCAACACCAUCCAACCGAUCAUACUCAAAGACAAGCCCACAGAGAUGGGCGUGGAUCCUACCUGUGUUUCCUGGAUCACAAAUUGCCUGACAGGAAUCACACAGUUCUUCACGCUGGGGAACUGUGUUUCUGGGCCUUAUUGAGAAGUACAGGGGUUCCACAACGGACGGUCCUGGCUCCAUUCCUAUUGACAGGGUAUACACCAGACUUCAAAUACAGCACUGAGUCCUGAAAUUUUUGUAGAGGGCGCUAUGACCACAUUUUUGUUGGAAAUCCAUUUAGACAGUGGAAAACUUUUUGUUUAACUUUGAGUCCAACGUAGGUGUCAUUGAAUCCCUCGGUUUAGGUCAAACACAGGAGCUGAACUUACAUUUUGAAAUUUUGUAGAGGGAGAAAUGAAGGAAUUUUUUGAUGGGUGCCCAAUUUUUACAUUGGCACCCAUUUCUUUUCCUCUUGGGCGUUCAAGACAAGUGUCAUUGAAUCCACUUGUCUGGACCGCAGGAGCGGGUUUACGUUUUGAAAUUUUGAAGGGGGCGCUAUGGGGCCUUUUUAUGAUGGAUAUCCAUUAUGACAGUUAAACCCUUUUUGUUCGUCUUGAGGUCAAACAUAAGUGUCAUCAAUUUCAUAGGUUUAGGUCAAACACAGGAGCGUGGUUCACAUUGAAGAAAUUUGAAGGUGGCGCCAUAGAGCCAUGUUUUGAUGGAUCUCCAUUUUGAUAUUCAAACUGUUUUUGUUCGUGUUAAGGUUCAACUUCAGUGUCACUAAUUCCACAGGUUUUGGACGCGCACCAGAGCAGGGCUUUCAUUUAGAAAUGUUGUAGAGAACGCAGUCGUGCCAUUUUCAGUUGGAUCCAAGAUAAGUGUCUGUUAGUCCAUUGGUCUGAGUCACUCAAAGGAGCAGGGGUUUCAUUUUGAAAUUAUGAAGGGGGUGCUAUGUAGCUAUUUCUUAAAGAGACUACAUUUUUGACAUUGAACCCAUUUUUCUUUGUCUUGAGGUCAAACAUAAGUGACAUCAAUUCCAAAGGUUUUGGUCAAACACAGGAGCUGGGCUUAAUUUUUUUUUUUUUUAAUUUGAAGGUGGCACUCUGGAGCUAUUUGAAGUUGAUUCUCCAUUUUGAUGCUGGAGCCCUGUAUGUUCAACUUUCGGUUUGUCAUAAUUGUUCUUUAUUUCAAAAGUUUGGUUCGUACACAGAAAAAGGGCUUUUAUUUUUCAAUUGGGUAGGGGGCAAUAUGUGACCAUUGAUGGUUGGUUCUCCAUCUUGACAUUUUCUUCAUCACAGGGUGAUGAGACUCAUUUGUAAUAAUGGAAAAACAGCACCAUCUAGUGGUGUGCUUCAGUGACUUCCCCACAUAAAAAUGUAGAAAAUAUUACAGAGCUGAAGCUAAAAUACUUGGAUGAAGGUAAAGAUAAAAAAAAAAUUGCUAAAAUUGUAUGUCUUAUGUGCAUUACAAGGAAAAAUGAUCAGUCGAGGUGCUUCGGAUAGACAAAUGCCUAAAAAUGUAUGUAUUACAACCUCCCCGUGGAAUGUGGAAGUACUCAAAAGAAGUUUACAGUCAGAAUGUAACCAUAAUAAUUUUUGAUUAUGGUAUGACAGCACCAUCUAGUGGGGUGAACUUUUCACCUUUCUACCAUUUAUACUUUUUGCAAUAUUUCACUUUUUCCUGUACAAUUAGAAGUGAUCAUGAGAGUGCCAGUUGUUUUUUGUUAAUCUGAUCCUACAAAAAAAACUUAAAUGGUUUCAAAGUCAAUGAUAUUACGAAUCCUUUACAUAUUCAAGACUAUAAAACCCUGCAAGAGAUAUCCAGUUUCAGGUCAUGUUUUCUAAUAAAAAUCAGUCUCUCUUCUUAAGAUGGUCUUAUUUUCAUGAUACCACUUAUAACAAUAGGUCAAUGAACUGACAGGUCAUCAUAACAACAGGUCACCAUAACAUUCAACACCAUCCAACCGAUCAUACUCAAAGACAAGCCCACAGAGAUGGGCGUGGAUCCUACCUGUGUUUCCUGGAUCACAAAUUGCCUGACAGGAAUCACACAGUUCUUCACGCUGGGGAACUGUGUUUCUGGGCCUUAUUGAGAAGUACAGGGGUUCCACAACGGACGGUCCUGGCUCCAUUCCUAUUGACAGGGUAUACACCAGACUUCAAAUACAGCACUGAGUCCUGAAAUUUUUGUAGAGGGCGCUAUGACCACAUUUUUGUUGGAAAUCCAUUUUGACAGUGGAAAACUUUUUGUUUAACUUUGAGUCCAACGUAGGUGUCAUUGAAUCCCUCGGUUUAGGUCAAACACAGGAGCUGAACUUACAUUUUGAAAUUUUGUAGAGGGAGAAAUGAAGGAAUUUUUUGAUGGGUCCCCAAUUUUUACAUUGGAACCCAUUUCUUUUCCUCUUGGGGUUCAAGAUAAGUGUCAUUGAAUCCACUUGUCUGGACCACAGGAGUGGGUUUACGUUUUGAAAUUUUGAAGGGGGCGCUAUGGGGCCUUUUUAUGAUGGAUAUCCAUUAUGACAGUUAAACCCUUUUUGUUCGUCUUGAGGUCAAACAUAAGUGUCAUCAAUUUCAUAGGUUUAGGUCAAACACAGGAGCGUGGUUCACACUGAAGAAAUUUGAAGGUGGCGCCAUAGAGCCAUGUUUUGAUGGAUCUCCAUUUUGAUAUUCAAACUGUUUUUGUUCGUGUUAAGGUUCAACUUCAGUGUCACUAAUUCCACAGGUUUUGGACGCACACCAGAGCAGGGCUUUCAUUUAGAAAUGUUGUAGAGAACGCAGUCGUGCCAUUUUCAGUUGGAUCCAAGAUAAGUGUCUGUUAGUCCAUUGGUCUGAGUCACUCAAAGAAGCAGGAGUUUCAUUUUGAAAUUAUGAAGGGGGUGCUAUGUAGCUAGUUCUUGAAGGACCUCAAUUUUGACAUUGAACCCAUUUUUGUUUGUCUUGAGGUCAAACAUAAGUGACAUCAAUUCCAAAGGUUUUGGUCAAACACAGGAGCGGGGCUUACUUUUUUUUUUUUUUAAUUUGAAGCUGGCACUCUGGAGCUAUUUGAAGUUGAUUCUCCAUUUUGAUGCUGGAGCCCUUUAUGUUCAACUUUCGGUUUGUCAUAAUUGUACUUUAUUUCAAAAGUUUGGUUCGUACACAGAAAAAGGGCUUUUAUUUUUCAAUUGGGUAGGGGGCAAUAUGUGACCAUUGAUGGUUGGUUCUCCAUUUUGACAUUUUCUUCAUCACAGGGUGAUGAGACUCAUUUGUAAUAAUGGAAAAACAGCACCAUCUAGUGGUGUGCUUCAGUGACUUCCCCACAUAAAAAUGUAGAAAAUAUUACAGAGCUGAAGCUAAAAUACUUGGAUGAAGGUAAAAAUAAAAAAAAUUGCUAAAAUUGUAUGUCUUCUGUGAAUUACAAGGAAAAAUGAUCAGUCGAGGUGCUUCGGAUAGCCAAAUGCCUAAAAAUGUAUGUAUUACAACCUCCCCGUGAAAUGUGGAAGUACUCAAAAGAAGUUUACAGUCAGAAUGUAACCAUAGUAAUUUUUGAUUAUGGUAUGACAGCACCAUCUAGUGGGGUGUAAUUUUCACCUUUCUACCAUUUAUACUUUUUGCAAUAUUUCACUUUUUCUGUACAAUUAGAAGUGAUCAUGAGAGUGCCAGAAUUCUUAAGAUGGUCUUAUUUUCAUGAUACCACUUGGAAAAACUGCGUCAGGUAAAGAAGUUCAGACGGUAUCCACUUCACCCAUGGUGGAGCACUUCUCAUGUGUUGUGUGCUUGUCGAUUUCCUACACACUCUGUCCGCACGCACUACUCCAUCUUGCGGUGCGCUUCAGCUUGGUAAGUUAGUAACUGAAGCACACUAUAGGGUAGUGUUGUGCCGCUACCAGUGACUAUGGUUACAUGCUGCUGACUGCAAACCUCUUUUGAAUAUUUCAACAUUUCAUGGGGAGUUUGUAAUAUAUAAAUCUCUAGGCACUUGUCUUUCCAAAGCACCUAGACUGAUCUUUAUUUAUUUUUAUUCACAAAAGUCUUACAACUUUUUCUUCACUUGAGCAUUUUUUACAUUCAUAAAAGUAUUUAAAAUUCUGCUCUCUAUACUUUUAAGAUUAAUACCACUUCUUCAUACUUUCAUAAUUUUACAUUCAUAUGCCUUUUUUAUACCACAGCUCUGUAACAAUUCUAUAUUGACAAAUAUUGACAGGUCUUACAACUUUGUCUUCACGUGAGCAUUUUUUACAUUCAUACAAGUUUUUAAACUUCUGCUCUUAAUACUUUUGAGAUCAAUACCACCUAUUUAGCACUUUAAUAAUUUUGCAUUUAUACAGCUUUUAGCUACAGCUCUGUAACACUCUUUAUAUUUAUAUGUAGGGCAGCAACUGAAGCUCACCACUAGAUGCGGCUGUCAUACCAUAAUCAAAUAUUUCUAUGGUGAUGUGCUGACUGCAAACAUCUUUUUUAUGUAGGGCAGUGACAGAAGCACACCACCAGAUGGUGCUGUUUUUCCAUUAUUACAAAUCACUACAGUUACAUGCUGCUGACUGCAAACAUCUUUUCAGUAUUCACACAUGGAGCGGGGCCAUUGUUUUGUUUAGGCAUUAGCCGUUUUGUUUUGAAUGGACUCUCAAAGGCUUAAAAAAUUGUUUUUUGGAUAAAAAAAUGUACUAUUUUUGAUCAGGGCAGAAGUUAAUUGAGAGAUGUGUGAAAAAAAAUCUGGAAAAAAUAUGAAUCCAAUAUGAUUUUACAGCAGUCGAUGUCAGAGGCUUUUUUUAGCCACUGAGCAUUAACAAAGGAUGUUUUUUGUUAAUCUGAUCCUACAAAAAAAACUUAAAAGGUUUCAUAGUCAAUGAUAUUACUAAUCCUUUACAUAUUCAAGACUAUAAAACCCUGCAAGAGAUAUCCAGUUUCAGGUCAUGUUUUCUAAUAAAAAUCAGUCUCUCUUCUUAAGAUGGUCUUAUUUUCAUGAUACCACUUAUAACAAUAGGUCAAUGAACUGACAGGUCAUCAUAACAACAGGUCACCAUAACAUUCAACACCAUCCAACCGAUCAUACUCAAAGACAAGCCCACAGAGAUGGGCGUGGAUCCUACCUGUGUUUCCUGGAUCACAAAUUGCCUGACAGGAAUCACACAGUUCUUCACGCUGGGGAACUGUGUUUCUGGGCCUUAUUGAGAAGUACAGGGGUUCCACAACGGACGGUCCUGGCUCCAUUCCUAUUGACAGGGUAUACACCAGACUUCAAAUACAGCACUGAGUCCUGAAAUUUUUGUAGAGGGCGCUAUGACCACAUUUUUGUUGGAAAUCCAUUUUGACAGUGAAAAACUUUUUGUUUAACUUUGAGUCCAACGUAGGUGUCAUUGAAUCCCUCGGUUUAGGUCAAACACAGGAGCUGAACUUACAUUUUGAAAUUUUGUAGAGGGAGAAAUGAAGGAAUUUUUUGAUGGGUGCCCAAUUUUUACAUUGGCACCCAUUUCUUUUCCUCUUGGCGUUCAAGACAAGUGUCAUUGAAUCCACUUGUCUGGACCACAGGAGCGGGGUUUAAGUUUUGAAAUUUUGAAGGGGGCGCUAUGGGGCCUUUUUAUGAUGGAUAUCCAUUAUGACAGUUAAACCCUUUUUGUUCGUCUUGAGGUCAAACAUAAGUGUCAUCAAUUUCAUAGGUUUAGGUCAAACACAGGAGCGUGGUUCACAUUAAAGAAAUUUGAAGGUGGCGCCAUAGAGCCAUGUUUUGAUGGAUCUCCAUUUUGAUAUUCAAACUGUUUUUGUUCGUGUUAAGGUUCAACUUCAGUGUCACUAAUUCCACAGGUUUUGGACGCACACCAGAGCAGGGCUUUCAUUUAGAAAUGUUGUAGAGAACGCAGUCGUGCCAUUUUCAGUUGGAUCCAAGAUAAGUGUCUGUUAGUCCAUUGGUCUGAGUCACUCAAAGAAGCAGGAGUUUCAUUUUGAAAUUAUGAAGGGGGUGCUAUGUAGCUAUUUCUUGAAGGACCUCAAUUUUGACAUUGAACCCAUUUUUGUUUGUCUUGAGGUCAAACAUAAGUGACAUCAAUUCCAAAGGUUUUGGUCAAACACAGGAGCGGGGCUUACUUUUUUUUUUAAAUUUGAAGCUGGCACUCUGGAGCUAUUUGAAGUUGAUUCUCCAUUUUGAUGCUGGAGCCCUUUAUGUUCAACUUUCGGUUUGUCAUAAUUGUACUUUAUUUCAAAAGUUUGGUUCGUACACAGAAAAAGGGCUUUUAUUUUUCAAUUGGGUAGGGGGCAAUAUGUGACCAUUGAUGGUUGGUUCUCCAUUUUGACAUUUUCUUCAUCACAGGGUGAUGAGACUCAUUUGUAAUAAUGGAAAAACAGCACCAUCUAGUGGUGUGCUUCAGUGACUUCCCCACAUAAAAAUGUAGAAAAUAUUACAGAGCUGAAGCUAAAAUACUUGGAUGAAGGUAAAAAUAAAAAAAAAUUGCUAAAAUUGUAUGUCUUCUGUGAAUUACAAAGAAAAAUGAUCAGUCGAGGUGCUUCGGAUAGCCAAAUGCCUAAAAAUGUAUGUAUUACAACCUCCCCGUGAAAUGUGGAAGUACUCAAAAGAAGUUUACAGUCAGAAUGUAACCAUAGUAAUUUUUGAUUAUGGUAUGACAGCACCAUCUAGUGGGGUGUACUUUUCACCUUUCUACCAUUUAUACUUUUUGCAAUAUUUCACUUUUUCUGUACAAUUAGAAGUGAUCAUGAGAGUGCCAGAAUUCUUAAGAUGGUCUUAUUUUCAUGAUACCACUUGGAAAAACUGCGUCAGGUAAAGAAGUUCAGACGGUAUCCACUUCACCCAUGGUGGAGCACUUCUCAUGUGUUGUGUGCUUGUCGAUUUCCUACACACUCUGUCCGCACGCACUACUCCAUCUUGCGGUGCGCUUCAGCUUGGUAAGUUAGUAACUGAAGCACACUAUAGGGUAGUGUUGUGCCGCUACCAGUGACUAUGGUUACAUGCUGCUGACUGCAAACCUCUUUUGAAUAUUUCAACAUUUCAUGGGGAGUUUGUAAUAUAUAAAUCUCUAGGCACUUGUCUUUCCAAAGCACCUAGACUGAUCUUUAUUUAUUUUUAUUCACAAAAGUCUUACAAAUUUUUCUUCACUUGAGCAUUUUUUACAUUCAUAAAAGUAUUUAAAAUUCUGCUCUCUAUACUUUUAAGAUUAAUACCACUUCUUCAUACUUUCAGAAUUUUACAUUCAUAUACCUUUUUUAUACCACAGCUCUGUAACAAUUCUAUAUCGACAAAUAUUGACAGGUCUUACAACUUUGUCUUCACGUGAGCAUUUUUUACAUUCAUACAAGUUUUUAAACUUCUGCUCUUAAUACUUUUGAGAUCAAUACCACCUAUUUAGCACUUUAAUAAUUUUGCAUUUAUACAGCUUUUAGCUACAGCUCUGUAACACUCUUUAUAUUUAUAUGUAGGGCAGCAACUGAAGCUCACCACUAGAUGCGGCUGUCAUACCAUAAUCAAAUAUUUCUAUGGUGAUGUGCCGACUGCAAACAUCUUUUUUAUGUAGGGCAGUGACAGAAGCACACCACCAGAUGGUGCUGUUUUUCCAUUAUUACAAAUCACUACGGUUACAUGCUGCUGACUGCAAACAUCUUAUCAGUGUUCACACAUGGAGCGGGGCCAUUGUUUUGUUUAGGCAUUAGCCGUUUUGUUUUGAAUGGACUCUCAAAGGCUUAAAAAAUUGUUUUUUGGAUAAAAAAAUGUACUAUUUUUGAUCAGGGCAGAAGUUAAUUGAGAGAUGUGUGAAAAAAAAUCUGGAAAAAAUAUGAAUCCAAUAUGUUUUUACAGCAGUCGAUGUCAGAGGCUUUUUUUAGCCACUGAGCAUUAACAAAGGAUGUUUUUUGUUAAUCUAAUCCUACAAAAAAACUUAAAAGGUUUCAAAGUCAAUGAUAUUACUAAUCCUUUACAUAUUCAAGACUAUAAAACCCUGCAAGAGAUAUCCAGUUUCAGGUCAUGUUUUCUAAUAAAAAUCAGUCUCUCUUCUUAAGAUGGUCUUAUUUUCAUGAUACCACUUAUAACAAUAGGUCAAUGAACUGACAGGUCAUCAUAACAACAGGUCACCAUAACAUUCAACACCAUCCAACCGAUCAUACUCAAAGACAAGCCCACAGAGAUGGGCGUGGAUCCUACCUGUGUUUCCUGGAUCACAAAUUGCCUGACAGGAAUCACACAGUUCUUCACGCUGGGGAACUGUGUUUCUGGGCCUUAUUGAGAAGUACAGGGGUUCCACAACGGACGGUCCUGGCUCCAUUCCUAUUGACAGGGUAUACACCAGACUUCAAAUACAGCACUGAGUCCUGAAAUUUUUGUAGAGGGCGCUAUGACCACAUUUUUGUUGGAAAUCCAUUUUGACAGUGGAAAACUUUUUGUUUAACUUUGAGUCCAACGUAGGUGUCAUUGAAUCCCUCGGUUUAGGUCAAACACAGGAGCUGAACUUACAUUUUGAAAUUUUGUAGAGGGAGAAAUGAAGGAAUUUUUUGAUGGGUGCCCAAUUUUUACAUUGGCACCCAUUUCUUUUCCUCUUGGCGUUCAAGACAAGUGUCAUUGAAUCCACUUGUCUGGACCACAGGAGCGGGGUUUAAGUUUUGAAAUUUUGAAGGGGGCGCUAUGGGGCCUUUUUAUGAUGGAUAUCCAUUAUGACAGUUAAACCCUUUUUGUUCGUCUUGAGGUCAAACAUAAGUGUCAUCAAUUUCAUAGGUUUAGGUCAAACACAGGAGCGUGGUUCACAUUGAAGAAAUUUGAAGGUGGCGCCAUAGAGCCAUGUUUUGAUGGAUCUCCAUUUUGAUAUUCAAACUGUUUUUGUUCGUGUUAAGGUUCAACUUCAGUGUCACUAAUUCCA